AGAGUUUGAUCAUGGCUCAGGAUGAACGCCGGCGGUGUGCCUAAUACAUGCAAGUCGUACGCACUGGCCCAACUGAUUGAUGGUGCUUGCACCUGAUUGACGAUGGAUCACCAGUGAGUGGCGGACGGGUGAGUAACACGUAGGUAACCUGCCCCGGAGCGGGGGAUAACAUUUGGAAACAGAUGCUAAUACCGCAUAACAACAAAAGCCGCAUGGUUUUUGUUUGAAAGAUGGCUUUGGCUAUCACUCUGGGAUGGACCUGCGGUGCAUUAGCUAGUUGGUAAGGUAACGGCUUACCAAGGCGAUGAUGCAUAGCCGAGUUGAGAGACUGAUCGGCCACAAUGGAACUGAGACACGGUCCAUACUCCUACGGGAGGCAGCAGUAGGGAAUCUUCCACAAUGGGCGCAAGCCUGAUGGAGCAACACCGCGUGAGUGAAGAAGGGUUUCGGCUCGUAAAGCUCUGUUGUUGGAGAAGAACGUGCGUGAGAGUAACUGUUCACGCAGUGACGGUAUCCAACCAGAAAGUCACGGCUAACUACGUGCCAGCAGCCGCGGUAAUACGUAGGUGGCAAGCGUUAUCCGGAUUUAUUGGGCGUAAAGCGAGCGCAGGCGGUUGCUUAGGUCUGAUGUGAAAGCCUUCGGCUUAACCGAAGAAGUGCAUCGGAAACCGGGCGACUUGAGUGCAGAAGAGGACAGUGGAACUCCAUGUGUAGCGGUGGAAUGCGUAGAUAUAUGGAAGAACACCAGUGGCGAAGGCGGCUGUCUGGUCUGCAACUGACGCUGAGGCUCGAAAGCAUGGGUAGCGAACAGGAUUAGAUACCCUGGUAGUCCAUGCCGUAAACGAUGAGUGCUAGGUGUUGGAGGGUUUCCGCCCUUCAGUGCCGGAGCUAACGCAUUAAGCACUCCGCCUGGGGAGUACGACCGCAAGGUUGAAACUCAAAGGAAUUGACGGGGGCCCGCACAAGCGGUGGAGCAUGUGGUUUAAUUCGAAGCUACGCGAAGAACCUUACCAGGUCUUGACAUCUUGCGCUAACCUUAGAGAUAAGGCGUUCCCUUCGGGGACGCAAUGACAGGUGGUGCAUGGUCGUCGUCAGCUCGUGUCGUGAGAUGUUGGGUUAAGUCCCGCAACGAGCGCAACCCUUGUUACUAGUUGCCAGCAUUGAGUUGGGCACUCUAGUGAGACUGCCGGUGACAAACCGGAGGAAGGUGGGGACGACGUCAGAUCAUCAUGCCCCUUAUGACCUGGGCUACACACGUGCUACAAUGGACGGUACAACGAGUCGCAAACUCGCGAGAGUAAGCUAAUCUCUUAAAGCCGUUCUCAGUUCGGACUGUAGGCUGCAACUCGCCUACACGAAGUCGGAAUCGCUAGUAAUCGCGGAUCAGCAUGCCGCGGUGAAUACGUUCCCGGGCCUUGUACACACCGCCCGUCACACCAUGGGAGUUUGUAACGCCCAAAGUCGGUGGCCUAACCUUUAUGGAGGGAGCC
rnacentral:rRNA from 1 species